rnacentral:rRNA from 1 species
AGUGGCGGACGGGUGAGUAACACGUGGGAACGUGCCUUUAGGUUCGGAAUAGCUCCUGGAAACGGGUGGUAAUGCCGAAUGUGCCCUUCGGGGGAAAGAUUUAUCGCCUUUAGAGCGGCCCGCGUCUGAUUAGCUAGUUGGUGAGGUAAUGGCUCACCAAGGCGACGAUCAGUAGCUGGUCUGAGAGGAUGACCAGCCACAUUGGGACUGAGACACGGCCCAAGGGCCUACGGGAGGCAGCAGUGGGGAAUCUUGCGCAAUGGGCGAAAGCCUGACGCAGCCAUGCCGCGUGAAUGAUGAAGGUCUUAGGAUUGUAAAAUUCUUUCACCGGGGACGAGUGAAUGGGCGGUACCCGGAGAAGAAGCCCCGGCUAACUUCGUGCCAGCAGCCGCGGUAAUACGAAGGGGGCUAGCGUUGCUCGGAAUUACUGGGCGUGAAGGGCGCGUAGGCGGACAUUUAAGUCAGGGGUGAAAUCCCAGAGCUCAACUCUGGAACUGCCUUUGAUACUGGGUGUCUUGAGUGUGAGAGAGGUAUGUGGAACU